rnacentral:rRNA from 1 species
UUUGGGUGUGACUGCGUACCUUUUGUAUAAUGGGUCAGCGACUUAUAUUCUGUAGCAAGGUUAACCGUAUAGGGGAGCCGUAGGGAAACCGAGUCUUAAUUGGGCGUUAAGUUGCAGGGUAUAGACCCGAAACCCGGUGAUCUAGCCAUGGGCAGGUUGAAGGUUGGGUAACACUAACUGGAGGACCGAACCGACUAAUGUUGAAAAAUUAGCGGAUGACCUGUGGCUGGGGGUGAAAGGCCAAUCAAACCGGGAGAUAGCUGGUUCUCCCCGAAAGCUAUUUAGGUAGCGCCUCGUGAAUUCAUCUCCGGGGGUAGAGCACUGUUUCGGCUAGGGGGCCAUCCCGGCUUACCAACCCGAUGCAAACUGCGAAUACCGGAGAAUGUUAUCACGGGAGACACACGGCGGGUGCUAACGUCCGUCGUGAAGAGGGAAACAACCCAGACCGCCAGCUAAGGUCCCAAAGUCAUGGUUAAGUGGGAAACGAUGUGGGAAGGCACAGACAGCCAGGAUGUUGGCUUAGAAGCAGCCAUCAUUUAAAGAAAGCGUAAUAGCUCACUGGUCGAGUCGGCCUGCGCGGAAGAUGUAACGGGGCUAAACCAUGCACCGAAGCUGCGGCAGCGACGUUUAUGCGUUGUUGGGUAGGGGAGCGUUCUGUAAGCCUGCGAAGGUGGCCUGUGAGGGUUGCUGGAGGUAUCAGAAGUGCGAAUGCUGACAUAAGUAACGAUAAAGCGGGUGAAAAGCCCGCUCGCCGGAAGACCAAGGGUUCCUGUCCAACGUUAAUCGGGGCAGGGUGAGUCGACCCCUAAGGCGAGGCCGAAAGGCGUAGUCGAUGGGAAACGGGUUAAUAUUCCCGUACUUGGUGUUACUGCGAAGGGGGGACGGAGAAGGCUAUGUUGGCCGGGCGACGGUUGUCCCGGUUUAAGCGUGUAGGCUGGUUUUCCAGGCAAAUCCGGAAAAUCAAGGCUGAGGCGUGACGACGAGGCACUACGGUGCUGAAGCAACAAAUGCCCUGCUUCCAGGAAAAGCCUCUAAGCAUCAGGUAACAUCAAAUCGUACCCCAAACCGACACAGGUGGUCAGGUAGAGAAUACCAAGGCGCUUGAGAGAACUCGGGUGAAGGAACUAGGCAAAAUGGUGCCGUAACUUCGGGAGAAGGCACGCUGACACGUAGGUGAAGUGAUUUACUCACGGAGCUGAAGUCAGUCGAAGAUACCAGCUGGCUGCAACUGUUUAUUAAAAACACAGCACUGUGCAAACACGAAAGUGGACGUAUACGGUGUGACGCCUGCCCGGUGCCGGAAGGUUAAUUGAUGGGGUCAGCGCAAGCGAAGCUCCUGAUCGAAGCCCCGGUAAACGGCGGCCGUAACUAUAACGGUCCUAAGGUAGCGAAAUUCCUUGUCGGGUAAGUUCCGACCUGCACGAAUGGCGUAAUGAUGGCCAGGCUGUCUCCACCCGAGACUCAGUGAAAUUGAACUCGCUGUGAAGAUGCAGUGUACCCGCGGCAAGACGGAAAGACCCCGUGAACCUUUACUAUAGCUUGACACUGAACAUUGAGCCUUGAUGUGUAG